AUGCAGUCGAGCGGAUGACGGGAGCUUGCUCCUUGAUUCAGCGGCGGACGGGUGAGUAAUGCCUAGGAAUCUGCCUGGUAGUGGGGGACAACGUUUCGAAAGGAACGCUAAUACCGCAUACGUCCUACGGGAGAAAGCAGGGGACCUUCGGGCCUUGCGCUAUCAGAUGAGCCUAGGUCGGAUUAGCUAGUUGGUGGGGUAAUGGCUCACCAAGGCGACGAUCCGUAACUGGUCUGAGAGGAUGAUCAGUCACACUGGAACUGAGACACGGUCCAGACUCCUACGGGAGGCAGCAGUGGGGAAUAUUGGACAAUGGGCGAAAGCCUGAUCCAGCCAUGCCGCGUGUGUGAAGAAGGUCUUCGGAUUGUAAAGCACUUUAAGUUGGGAGGAAGGGCAGUAAGYUAAUACCUUGCUGUUUUGACGUUACCGACAGAAUAAGCACCGGCUAACUCUGUGCCAGCAGCCGCGGUAAUACAGAGGGUGCAAGCGUUAAUCGGAAUUACUGGGCGUAAAGCGCGCGUAGGUGGUUCGUUAAGUUGGAUGUGAAAGCCCCGGGCUCAACCUGGGAACUGCAUCCAAAACUGGCGAGCUAGAGUACGGUAGAGGGUGGUGGAAUUUCCCUGU
rnacentral:rRNA from 1 species